AUGGUCGAAGGCUCGGAGGCGGACAUCUACAACCUCAAGUUCCUCCUCCUCUGCUUCCAACAAAUGUCUGGCCUUAAGAUAAACUUUGACAAGAGUGAUGUUAUGGUGAUGGGCUACUCUCCCGCGGAGUGUCUGGCCAUUGCCAACCGGCUUAACUGCCGCAUGGGCUCCUUUCCCACGACCUACUUGGGUACGCCCAUUAGUGACACCCGGCUCACCGUCGCGGACUUGUGCCCGACCAUGGCCAAGCUCCAAACGCGCAUCGAACCAUGGCAGGGGAGGUGGUUAUCUAAGGCAGCCCGGACAAUUCUCCUCAACUCUUUCCUCUCCGGCCUCCUCUUGUUUCUUAUGAGCUUCUACAGCCUCCACGAGACUCUGCACCAUGAGAUUGCCAAAGUCCAGUCUCGUUUCUACUGGGCUGGCGACAACGAUAAGCAGAAUUAUCAUAUGGUCAGUUGGCCAGACAUUUGCAAGCCCGGGGAGCAAGGCGGCCUUGGCAUUAUGUGCUCUAAGCGGAUGAAUAUCGCCCUCCUCUCCCGCUGGCUUUGGCGCAUCUCGCAAGGUCACGGUGGCCUCUGGCUC
rnacentral:rRNA from 1 species